CCUACGGGGGGCAGCAGUGGGGAAUAUUGGACAAUGGGGGGAACCCUGAUCCAGCCAUGCCGCGUGUGUGAAGAAGGCCCUCGGGUUGUAAAGCACUUUCAGUGAGGAAGAACGCCUGGUGGUUAAUACCCAUCAGGAAAGACAUCACUCACAGAAGAAGCACCGGCUAACUCCGUGCCAGCAGCCGCGGUAAUACGGAGGGUGCGAGCGUUAAUCGGAAUUACUGGGCGUAAAGCGUGCGUAGGUGGCUUGAUAAGCCGGUUGUGAAAGCCCCGGGCUCAACCUGGGAACGGCAUCCGGAACUGUCAAGCUAGAGUGCAGGAGAGGAAGGUAGAAUUCCCGGUGUAGCGGUGAAAUGCGUAGAGAUCGGGAGGAAUACCAGUGGCGAAGGCGGCCUUCUGGACUGACACUGACACUGAGGUGCGAAAGCGUGGGUAGCAAACAGGAUUAGAUACCCUUGUAGUC
rnacentral:rRNA from 1 species